CUGAUUCUAUGAGCAGGGAGCGAUGUUAGAGGGCAAGGAGUAUGUCUUGCUGUUCAUUUUUGUGGCCACCGGGUGUCAUUCUAGGAGCAGACUUUGGCCAGCCUGGAUGCAUUACUAUGGCAGCAAGCGCUGGAGGCCUUACAGACCUAGCUACCUAUGCAGUCUUGCUCUGGACUGGUCUUUCUGUUGGAGCUGCAACUAACUACUCACAAGUGCCCUUUGCUUCUGGAAUGGAUUAGAACUGUAGUACUUGGCUGCUGAAUGUGUAUCCAAAGGAAUUUGCUGGUAACGGUUCUUGAAAUCUGUUAAUUGAAAAUAAUAACGGAUAACGAUGAAUCCAGGAAGGUGAGAGAUUUUUGAAGUUUGUUAUUGUGUAGGAAAGCAGUGAGAGAUUUAGCAUAAACUGAAACACUUAGGGAGAAGCCUUAAAAGCAGAGUUCACCUUAAAAUUUAUGCCUUCAUCCGCACACAGGAAUAAGAAAUUGAUGUAUAGCACCAGGCUUACGCACUUAGUGAUUUAGUCCUAUCUGAAGUCUGUUUCAUGUGGCUCAGUCAUGGUGACCUAAUGCUUAGUCCUUCUGUUUCUCAAAGUACAUUGCAAAUCUGCAGAGGAACAGUUGUUUAGAAAAAAUAAAUAUAUGGACGUCUGGAAAAUCAUUUUAUUCUGUACUUAAUAUAUACAAAAUCAUCAGAUGAAAGGCUUUUAAGUCAUAAAUAUUAAAGAUUAUACUACUUUUAUCUGUUUAAAAAUGAAAGCAACCAAGUAAUCUGUUGCUAUGCAACAUCAUGCAAGUAAGUUAAGAACUGGCAAAAGUAAUUAAUACAAAAGAUGUGACUAAGUAUGCUAUGUAUGAGGCCUGUCCCAAACCACUUCAACUAUCAUAAAAUAAAUUUAACAGUGGAAUUGAUUAUUUAAUGCAUGUUUGGGCAAUGCUUAAUAAUUGACCCUGGAAAUUCCUUUUGCUAAUGAGUGUUAUGCCAGGGGAUGUAGUUGUCUCUUUAUUUUAUUAUCUCCUGUGCUUCAGGACAUAAUGAAUGCACCUAGGUAAUGCCGACAAAUCAGAUUAUUCAACUGCUAAGUAAGCUCUCUUUGUGAUCCCUUCUUCUCUGUUAUGGCUACAUGAUCACAGUAUGUCUAAUUUGAGAUCUUACAUCUGUAAACAAAUGAAAGGCAAAUAUGAGAGGGGAAAUAUUGCAGUCUAAAACGAUACAGCCCAGAGGCAAGGGAAAUAAGCAUGGGAUAAAGCAGGCUCUACAAUACAAAGCCACUAAUGAUAAUUGUUUCUGUACAAACAGCAGAAGGAUGAUGUGGGUUGAUAGAGGGAUCGCAAGGUAACUGUGGAGGCAGCUGCUUAAUCGUUGUUAAAUGGAUUGAAGAGUCUAAGGUACAGAAGGGUUUGAAUACUUUCAAUAGCUUUUUUUUUUUAAUAUAUUUUUUUA
rnacentral:lncRNA from 1 species